rnacentral:rRNA from 1 species
CUACCAUGGCAGUCACGGGUAACGGAGAAUUAGGGUUCGAUUCCGGAGAGGGAGCCUGAGAAACGGCUACCACAUCUACGGAAGGCAGCAGGAGCGAAAAUUGCCCAAUCCCGACACGGGGAGGCAGUGACGAGAAAUAACAACUCUUGGUUAUUCUAAGAAGUGUAAUGAGGAUAAUUUAAAACCCUUACCGAAAGCAAUUGGAGGGCAAGUCUGGUGCCAGCAGCCGCGGUAAUUCCAGCUCCAAUAGCGUAUAUUAAAGUUGUUGCAGUUAAAAAGCUCGUAGUUGAAGUUCUGGCUGUUUGACCCUCGAGCUCUGUAGCCGAGGGCUCAACAGUCAUCCGCUUGCAAACAUAUGUUCGCCUUUAACCGGGCGGCUAUGUGAGUAAGCAUUUUACCUUGAGAAAAACAGAGUGUUCCAGGCAGGUUUGUCCGGAAUGCAUUAGCAUGGAAUAAUAGAACAUGACUGAAGUCUAUUUAUCGGUUAAAGGCUUUAGUAAUGAUUAAUAGGAACAGUCGGGGGCAUUCGUACUCAGCAGUCAGAGGUGAAAUUCUAAGAUUUGCUGAAGACGAACUAAUGCGAAAGCAUUUGCCAAGGAUGUUUUCAUUAAUCAAGAACGAAAGUUAGGGGAUC